AGCCUGUGGCAUCUGGUCAUGACAGCCCUAGCCAACGUGCCUGUAAAUCCAACCAGGUGGGAAACGGGAGGCCCACGUGGGGACCCGCUGCCUGUCCCAGCUGGGCCAGUAGAGAGGAGGGGGUUGUAACUGAGGUUGGCAGAGCAGCGUGCAGUGGCCAGGUAUGGGGCUGGCUUGGACACGUGCCCUUUAGGAGGCCCUUGGAGUCUCAGUACCUUCCCCUGAGUGAUGCCAACAAUGUCCAUCUCCAAAUCAGUGGUUUUGAGAAUUAUCAUCCAAGAAUAGGGUCCGACACAACACAGGUCCUGAGGGUCAUUCCUGGGGUCUGCUUGGGGCCAACGGAGGCUCAGAAGAAGGUUCCAGCACCAAAGCGCUGUGGGGGGGUGGCCCGAGAGGACCUGUCCACACUGCAAAGGCGCCACCGGGUGGAGGCUCACGGAACGGGCGCGCGAGCCCGCGGGUCCUGAGCUUCAGGAAGGCGCCCCUUACAGGGUGAGGUCGGGACUGGGAAGCCACGGAAAUGUCGGGCGCCAACCCAGCUGCUGCGCAUCCACCAGCCUGGUCUGCUGGUGACCCGGACCCACCCACUGCUGCAGACCAGCCCCCAGGAAGCAAAGAGUACCCAGUGCACACUAGUCCGGUUCACAAAGCCCCCACUGUGUGCCUGGACCUGGGCACGUGGCCUCCUUCCCUUCCACGACCUGACGUGGACAGUGUAUCCAGAACUUAUUCCAUUUAGAAUGUUUAUUAAUUUGCAAAAAUAUUUCUUGGCUGCCGGGUUCUCCCGGUUGCCAACUCCCAGUGGUCCUUCGGUCAGGGGUACAGAGGAGCCGGGUUCUCCGCUAGAACCUCCAAACGCGCUCUCAACAUAAACGGGAGGCGCUGAGCACCGGGUACUGAUGUGAGUUUGCUGGGAGGAACCACGUUUCGUUAUGUUUAAAAAUCAAAGCUUCAUCUGCUCGCGAACCUGGUGAAAUAUUUACAGGUGAAAUGAUCCAGCCGCCGCGGAGGGCCACUGAACGUCAGCAGGGCACGGUCGAUGCGAUGCCGGGAGGCGCCGCGGUGUUGAAUUGUCUGUAACGAAUACGGAGAAGAAAACAGGAUCCCGGAGUGGGACCUGCUCUCCACCCAGUGCCUGGAAAUUUGGGGUGAUUUUGUGCUGAUUGGUGGACCGCCAGCCUGGGCCCUGCACGACCACUGGAACCACUGGGACCUCCUCUAUCGGGAAGGUCGUCCUCUUGGAUGGAGCACGCAGCUUCGGGAGGGCCACACUUGGAGCGGUGAGGGAGCAAAGGGACCCCCACCUAGCCAGCCAGGUCAGCCGAAUCAGCCCUGGCGAUGGACCCUGUCACAUUGUGAGCGGCAUUAGGAGACACAGGACACGGUCUCAGGUGACAGGCGCCACGCCAGAUCCCCCUCUCAUCCUCCAUUUAUUUUGAUGGUUAAAAAAAAAAAAAAAUCUUUUGGCUGGGGAGUAACUCAGCGGUGAAGCUGGUGAAGCCGGUAAAGCUAGUUUUCCAAAUGCCCGAAGUCUGGGUUCCCUCCCCAGCACCAGCGAUAAUUAAAAACACUUACAUUUUCACAGCUGAUUUGCUGAGCUAGACACCCAAGGCGGCGCCUUCGUGGCUUCGUUGCGGUGUCCCUUAGAUGUCACGCUUUCCAACCCCUCUGUGGGGACACGGAGGCCAAGCUUGGGCGGGCAGGACCGAGGCACCCAGACCAGGGGCUGCAGGACCAGGGGAGGGGGAGCCACAUUCUCCCUUCAGCCAGCGAUGACAGAAGGAUCGAACCCAGGGCCUCCGGUGUGCUAGCAAGCGCUCCACCUCUGAACCACGACCCCAGCCCCCAGGAAGAAUAUCAUUUUUUUAAAAAAAGAAAGAAAAGAAAUCCGUGUGUCCGCGGUGCUGCACGUCUGUAAUCCCAGCGUGUGAGGACUGAGUUGAAAGCCGGCCUCCUCAACCGACUCUGAGUCUGGGGCUGGUUUGGGUAAAGAAAGGAAAGAAAGCAGCUGCUUACCUGGCUAGCCCGAUGCUGUGGCCAGCGCUGGCGCUGGGCCUCUGGCCCGCUCACCUCCCAAGGCCCUGAGGUGACCCACACUGCCUUCCUAUUUGAUCAUUCAACGACUGUUUGUCGAGUGCCCACUGCGUGCUAGAUCCUGUGCAGACCACUGGGGCCUUGCUUCUACAAGGUGAAGGACAGCUGCUCAACCUGUGGCUGAUUUUGUGUGUGGGAAAUGGCUCUUCCUGGUUCCCACUGGGAUGCGAGGGCUCGUUUGUUUCUGCAGCACAACCAGCCUAACCUGACUGAUACAAGGAUGGACAGUGAACAGUCUGUCUCCCUCAGCCUUCCAGUCCCUCCCAGUGGAAGCUCCAUUGACAGAUCCUUGGGCCACUUUCCUAAAAUCCCCUCUGCUUUUAUGUUAGCAUGGACACCCUGAGACAGCCCAGAUGAGGAAUUCUGGUGGAAGUUGCUGGGUUUUCCCCUUCGGCUUUUGGAACCAGGGCUCUAUCCCUGUGGAUACGGCAGAGAGGAAAACAGACCAUGAGGAGCUGAAGGCUGGGGUCACACAGGCUGGCCAAACCUCAGGUCUUGUCCCCCAUGGACGGCCAGGCCUAUGCCAUCCCUGCUGCCUGGGGGUGGGCAGGACCCUCCUGCAGCCAGGCAGGUGCUUAUGCUCGCUGGCCACAGCCACAGACCCCCAAGCCCCAUUCCCGGCCUCCUGCUCUGUGGCUGCCAGAGGUUCCCCAGUGGGCAGGUAGAAGGUGGCACUUCUGGGUACCUCCUUUUAGGGAAGGAACAGGGAGGAAGUUCAGCCAGAAAGCUCAAGCAUGUCUUCUCCCUUGAAUCCCCUUCCCACCGCCCCAUGGGUCAAACCUGGGCCCCCAAAUGGCCUCUUUUCCAGCUGUGUUGUCCUUGUUUAUAAUGAACAUAGGAGAUGUAUGGCCCUAAGGUGAAUUGUCAUCUGACGACUUCCUUUUAAGAAUUUAAACAGGCCUGGCGCACGCCUGUCAUCCCAGUGGCUUGGGAGGCUGAGGCAGGAGGAUCAUGAGUUUAAACUAGCCUCAGCAACUUAGCCAGGCCCUAAGCAACUCAGUGAAACCCUGUCUCUAAAUAAAACAUAAAAAGGGCUGAGGACACGGCUCAGCUCAGUGGUUAAGUGCCCCUGAGUUCAAUCCCCCAUACCCCCCCCCAAAAAAAAGAGAGAAUUUAAAAUGGCUUCCCCCUUGAAGAAAGGUCUGCGAGCUUCAUGCAAAAGUAACAGACAAAAAGAGCCGGGGCAGAAACAGGUAAGGGAAAAACAGACCCCUGCCCAGGCCACCUCCCACACAGGCUGCUGUGGCUCAGGACCCCUCCUUGAAGGUUGCUUCUCUACAUCUGUGAACACCUGUGGGCGUGCCCAGGUCCCUCUGGAAGCAGAUCAGGAGUGGAUGCAUUUAGUUCAGCGCUUGCUCCUCCGCCCCCAUCCAGGGCACUGCUGCUGCAGUCUGCCUCUGGGUCAGCUGACUCACUCUUGCAAGCCUCUGCUGUUUUGCUCCAGAGCUCGGCUUCUAACAAGUCAGUACCUGUUCCUGGACCCUUUUCAAGAUUGAACUUGGGAUGGAUUUGGUUUUUUCACUUCAGUUGGACUCUAAUUCAUCUGGAAUGACUCUGAGGAAUGGUAUCAGAUGUGAGUGGAACUUGACUUUUCCCAAGCGGCCGAUAUUAUUUCCAUUAUAGUUAUGGAUUGGAAUUCCCUCCCCAAUCGAUUCGGGACGCUCUUUUUACACAUGAGAAGGUGAUCUUCUGCAUUGCCCAGGUGUGGCACAGGAACUCCUGGGGGCAGCUCUGGGAUAAGGCAUUCUUAAUUUGAGGGACAAGCUUCUGGGUUCCAGAGGUAGGUUCUCUUGUUGCUGCUCAUCUGAAAUAUUUUUUAAAACGUUGUUCAGAAAAUGCCAGAACUAAACCCAACUCCUGUUCUUUCUUUUUUAAAGAAAAGAGUGGAUGCCUCGGCUGCAGGGCGGCCUGGACAGGGUGGGUGCUCUUGUGGGCAAACCCUUCUGUACAACUUGAUUCUUGACGUUGCAUGACUUACUCUGGUUUUGCUUAAAACACCAACAGCAAGAGACAGUGCUCGGGGUUGGGGAUUUAGCUCAGUGGCAGAGCGCUUGCCUAGCAUGCGCAAGGCCCUGGGUUCGGUCCUCAGCCCUGUAAAAAACAACUAAAAAAGUAUAAAAAAAAAAAAAAGGAUUAAAAAGACCAAAAAAAAACAAGGUAACAGCACA